rnacentral:rRNA from 1 species
CCCUUAGAUGUUCUGGGCCGCACGCGCGCUACACUGACGAAGUCAGCGAGCAUCUCCUUCGCCGAAAGGUGCGGGGAAUCUUGUGAAACUUUGUCGUGCUGGGGAUUGAUUUUUGAAAUUCUUGAUCAUCAACGAGGAAUUCCUAGUAAACGCAGAUCAUCAAUCUGCAUUGAUUACGUCCCUGCCCUUUGUACACACCGCCCGUCGCACCUACCGAUUGGAUGGUCCGGUGAAGCCUCGGGAUUGUGGUUCUUGCCGCUUUAUUGUGGCGUGACCGCGAGAACUUGUCUAAACCUUAUCAUCUAGAGGAAGGUGAAGUCGUAACA